UCAGGACGAACGCUGGCGGCGUGCUUAACACAUGCAAGUCGAACGGAAAGGCCCUUCGGGGUACUCGAGUGGCGAACGGGUGAGUAACACGUGGGUGAUCUGCCCUGCACUUCGGGAUAAGCCUGGGAAACUGGGUCUAAUACCGGAUAUACCUCAUGGACUGCAUGGUUUGUGGGGGAAAGCUUUUGCGGUGUGGGAUGGGCCCGCGGCCUAUCAGCUUGUUGGUGGGGUGAUGGCCUACCAAGGCGUCGACGGGUAGCCGGCCUGAGAGGGUGUCCGGCCACACUGGGACUGAGAUACGGCCCAGACUCCUACGGGAGGCAGCAGUGGGGAAUAUUGCACAAUGGGCGCAAGCCUGAUGCAGCGACGCCGCGUGGGGGAUGACGGCCUUCGGGUUGUAAACCUCUUUCAGUAGGGACGAAGCGCAAGUGACGGUACCUACAGAAGAAGCACCGGCCAACUACGUGCCAGCAGCCGCGGUAAUACGUAGGGUGCGAGCGUUGUCCGGAAUUACUGGGCGUAAAGAGCUUGUAGGUGGUUUGUCGCGUUGUUCGUGAAAUCUCACGGCUUAACUGUGAGCGUGCGGGCGAUACGGGCAGACUAGAGUACUGCAGGGGAGACUGGAAUUCCUGGUGUAGCGGUGGAAUGCGCAGAUAUCAGGAGGAACACCGGUGGCGAAGGCGGGUCUCUGGGCAGUAACUGAC
rnacentral:rRNA from 1 species